GACGAACGCUGGCGGCGUGCUUAACACAUGCAAGUCGAACGGAAAAGCCUUGUGUUUGCGCGGUUCUCGAGUGCCGAACACGGGUGUAUCACGCGAGUAACCUCUCCUUUUCUUCGGGAUAACUCCUGGAGACUCGGGUGCUUAUCCCACAGGAUAUCCUGCUGCAUAGUGGUGAUUGUUGAGUUUCGCCGUUUGGGGAUGGACGGGCGGCUUAUCAGCUUGUUGGUGGGGUAGUGGCUUACAAAGGCAUCGAGGGGUAGCCGGCCUGGGAGGGUGACCGGCCACAUUGGGACUGGGAAAGGGGCCAUACGCCUACGGGAGGCAGCGGUGGAGGAUAUUGCGCAAUGGGCGGAAGCCUGAAGGAGCAACGUCGGGUGCUGGAUGACGGCUGUCGGGUUGUAAACCGGUUUCGCCUGUAACGAAGCGUGAGUGACGGUAACGGGUAAGGAAGCAACGGCUAACUACGUG
rnacentral:rRNA from 1 species